rnacentral:rRNA from 1 species
GAUGAACGCUAGCUACAGGCUUAACACAUGCAAGUCGAGGGGCAGCAUUUUAGUUUGCUUGCAAACUAAAGAUGGCGACCGGCGCACGGGUGAGUAACACGUAUCCAACCUGCCGAUAACUCGGGGAUAGCCUUUCGAAAGAAAGAUUAAUAUCCGAUGGUAUAUUAAAACCGCAUGGUUCUACUAUUAAAGAAUUUCGGUUAUCGAUGGGGAUGCGUUCCAUUAGUUUGUUGGCGGGUAACGGCCCACCAAGACUACGAUGGAUAGGGGUUCUGAGAGGAAGGUCCCCCCACAUUGGAACUGAGACACGGUCCAAACUCCUACGGGAGGCAGCAGUGAGGAAUAUUGGUCAAUGGACGAGAGUCUGAACCAGCCAAGUAGCGUGAAGGAUGACUGCCCUAUGGGUUGUAAACUUCUUUUAUAUGGGAAUAAAGUAUUCCACGUGUGGAAUUUUUGAUGUACCAUAUGAAUAAGGAUCGGCUAAACUCCGUGCCAGCCGCCGCGGGUAAC